GAUCAAGAGUUACAUGCUUUAUCGACUGAGCCAGCCAGGUGCCCCCACCUUCUAGGUUUUUGAAUCCCUGCAACAUCUGUGCUUGGGAAUUGACGAAGUUCUUUCCAGCUUGUCUCUCAUGGAAAAGUCCCACCCAAGGCAUCCUGUGAUGGGAACGGAAACUACUCCCUCAAGCAGUAGGGACUGCUCUGAGCCAGUAAGACCCCCUUCCCGACUAACCCCAAGACAAUGACCUGACCUUCACUGCCCACUGACCUUUGUCCCACAUUUUUUCUUCUAUAAACCUAGAAGUGUUUUCAGCACUUUGGAGACCGUCUUUGAGAUGCUUGUCUGCCGUCUUCCUGGGGCUGGCCUCACUGAAGUAAAUCCCUUUCUUGUUUAAC